rnacentral:rRNA from 1 species
AAGGGACCGGUUUUUGCUGGUUCUGGAUGAGUGGCGAACGGGUGAGUAACACGUGAGUAACCUGCCCCCUUCUUCUGGAUAACCGCAUGAAAGUGUGGCUAAUACGGGAUAUUCUGCGCCUGCUGCAUGGUGGGUGUGGGAAAGAUAUUGCUUCGGUGGGGGAUGGGCUCGCGGCCUAUCAGCUUGUUGGUGGGGUGAUGGCCUACCAAGGCGGUGACGGGUAGCCGGCCUGAGAGGGUGGACGGUCACACUGGGACUGAGACACGGCCCAGACUCC